rnacentral:rRNA from 1 species
AGAGGGUGCGAGCGUUGUCCGGAAUCACUGGGCGUAAAGGGCGCGUAGGUGGCCUGGUAAGUAGGGGGUGAAAUCUCGAGGCUCAACUUCGAGGCUGCCUCCUAAACUGUCAGGCUCGAGCAGAGUAGAGGCAGGUGGAAUUCCCGGUGUAGCGGUGGAAUGCGUAGAGAUCGGGAAGAACAUCGGUGGCGAAGGCGGCCUGCUGGGCUCUUGCUGACACUGAUGCGCGACAGCGUGGGGAGCAAACAGGAUUAGAUACCCUGGUAGUCCACGCCGUAAACGAUGGGUACUAGGCGCCGGGGGGAGCGACCCCUUCGGUGCCGUCGCUAACGCAAUAAGUACCCCGCCUGGGGAGUACGGCCGCAAGGCUG